rnacentral:snRNA from 1 species
GUUCUGAUUUUGGCAGCACAUAUACUAAAAAGGGAACAAGAGAGAAGAUUUGCAUGGCCUCAGUGCAAGGAAAAAGACUAAAUAAACUAGUUACCCUAGUCA